UCUCGCUUGUCCUCUCCCUCUCUGUUUCCUCCCUCCCGAGAUGUCAUCGAUGCGCAGUCGCUAUCCUCGCGACCACUGGACUCCCCGGCGAGCGGGAUGUCGUCCAGGAGGAGCGCCGCCCUCUCCUUCGUCCGCCCCGGGGGCCAGCCCAAGCUAGGACGCCGCGUAGCCUCGCCAUCGCCUCUUCUUCCUGCCACGGUCGCCACACGUCCCCGCCAUCGAUCUCCACCAUCGGGCCUCCCCGGCCAUCUCGAGCUCGCCUACGACCUCCCAACUACGAGACCGACGCUGCUGCUGCCCAGUUCGACUACGGAGUUGACGACCCCUCGUACUUGCCAGAGCAACCAGAUGCUAGAGCCCAGGAGCCGGACGCCACCGUCGACGACGACUCCUACGACACUGGAGGUGCCUACUACUACGUGCAGGCCGCUGACGACGACCAGGAGUAGUUAGGAGGAUCCCAGGCAGGAGGCCUGCGCCUCGUUCGAUCUGUAUCCCAGUUUGUGCUAGCCUUCUUAAGGCAAACUUGUUUAACUUAUGUCUGUACUCAGAUAUUGUUGCUUCCG
rnacentral:rRNA from 1 species